GGGCCAUAGCUCAGUGGUAGAACAUCUGCUUUGCAGGCAGAAGGUCCCAGGUUCAAUCCUCACCAUCUCCA
rnacentral:tRNA from 1 species